UGUAACAUGGUUAUUUGGCAAAUAGAUCAGAAGAAUGCUCCAGAUGUAGUUCAACCAGACGAGCUGAACAAUUGACAGCUCUAUCUUAUUUUCAUAGAUAAGAUGAAAAGAUAGAAAAUGAUGUUUAGAUAAGUUUGAAAUGACUAAGCCUCCCUCCCCACCUCCAAAUAGUUUGAUGUCAGUCAAUUUGGAAGGAGAUCGCUAGAGGGAUGCUCAAGAUAAAUUUAACAGGAUUAAAUAGAAAGUUUUAAAAUUGAAUUUAAGAAAUAAAUUUCACUGGCACAAAGUAGGGAAGAAUAUGACUAAAACUGAGGGAAGUUGACAUACUGUGAGCUGUGCCUCAAAAACAGGAGGAAGAGCUGUAGCUCAGAACAGAAUGUGGAGAUUGGAUGUGUUUGUAAUAGUGUCGCACCUCUUUUUACCUCCUAUCCACACAUGUCAUAGUAGGUCAUCUGUUUGGCUGGAGAUUGUAAAAAACUUUUAAUAAGAGGAAGCUAUAUCAAAGCAAGAAAUUACUAAAGGAGGAAAGUCAAAUGACACAAUAUGGAAAAAAUUCCUAAGUGAAGCUUCCUAGGGACUGAAGUUUAUAGAAAUCUCUGAAAUGCAGGACAGUUUAUCAAGGCAGACAGAGGCCCUUCAUAGAUAACUUCUGGAGGAAAAAUAAACCAAGAACUUAAAAACUAUAAAAGAAGUUUCUGUCUGAGUUCAAAUGUUGAACUUCAGGGAAGUCAUAAAGGAAAGAGACCUCGCAAAUGUCAAGCAUGUGGGAAAAAUUUUAAAUAUCAAUCUGAUAUUAUUAAACACUUGAGAAUUCACCCUGGAGAGAAACCUUAUGAAUGUAAGCAAUGUGGAAAAUUCUUUAACCAAAGUUCAGAUGUUAUCAAAUAUCAGUGAAUACAUACUGGGAAAAACCCUAUGAAUGUAAUGAUUGUGGGAAAACUUUCAUUCAUAGUUCACAUGUUACUGGACACCAAAGAAUUCAUAAUGGAGAGAAGCCAUUACAUUUAAUGUAAUGAGUGUGGAAAAACCUUCAGUCGGAGCUCAAACCUUAUUCAGCAUCAGAUAAUUCAUACUGGAGAAAAACCAUAUGAAUGUAAUCAUUAUGGCAGAUCUUUUAAUCAGUUUUCAUUACUUAUUGAACAUGAGAGAAUUCAUACGGGACAGAAACCGUAUCAGUGUAAGAAAUGUGGAAAAACAUUUAGUCAUAGCUCAGAUGUUACUAAACAUCAGAGAAUUCAUACUGGAGAGAAGCCCUAUGCAUGUCAUGAGUGUGGAAAAACCUUUAGUCAUAGCUCAGGUGUUAUUAAUCACCAGAGAAUUCAUACAGGAGAAAAAUCCUAUGUAUGCAAUUAAUGUGGAAAAGCCUUUAGAAGAUGGUCAGGUUUUGUUCAACAUCAGAGAACUCACUCUGGAGAAAAGCCUUAGAAAUGCAGUGAAUGUGGAAAAGCUUUUAUUCGGAGCACACAGCUUAGCAAGCACUAGAGAAUUCAUACUAAAGAGCACAUUCCAGAAUAAACCAGUUAGUGUAAUGAAAAAAGAAAAAGGAGAAUCUGUGAGAGCAGAGAAUUCAGUCUAAAGCAUCUUUUCAAGAGUUUGUAAGAUUUUGGAGAUCAGGCAUUUAACCUGCAUUAUGCAACUCCUAAGCCUUCAUCUCAUAAGAUUUGCUAAA